rnacentral:lncRNA from 1 species
CCUGGGUUCGAAUCCCCUCAUGGCUACAAUGUGUGAAGCCCAUUUCUGGUGUCCCCUGCCAUGAUAUUGCUGGAAUAUUGCUAAAAGCGGCAUAAACCCAUGCUCACUAACUCACUCACUUCAUGCUGAGCAGCAGGCAGGGCGACAACAUGUACUGAGUUACUUCCUUCCUUAAAGUUUCUUCAGACAGACAUGGAUAAAAAAUUUUAAACAAGAAUACCUUUGGUUUUUCCAGGAUGAGAUUAUGACACAACAAUGUAUGUCAAAAUAAAAAUAUUUUUUGAGCUGGACAUAUUUUCAGGAUGUUUGUUACAUACACAUAUAUCUAAAAAUGUAAAUAAUAUUGAGGUGGACGGAAUGUUGGUAAAAUGAGGAAAAUGUUGAAUGUUGUCUUGUUACGAUCUCAUUUGUCUAUUUGUCAGUUAACAUCGGUCGUGAGUUAUCUCCCUUUAGCUGGCUGAUGUAAUUAAUAAAUGUGUCGGCAUUGGUACUUAAAUAUAUCUGACUUAUUGUACACUUUGGUUUUACUUUACUUCAUGUGUUUGUGUUUACAUUACCCCUUCUGUUUAAACAAUGGGUGGCUUCAGUUAAGAGAUGGGGGCUUGCUCAAACUGCAUCAUAUGAAUACAGGGGGUAUUAGCAGACUCCCUUGUCUGAAAGCCAUACAAAUGACAGUGUUGGUAAGCAUUUAAUUUGCCAGUAGCUGGCCGCCAUUCAGUAUCCUGUGUCUCUAUGAUGUAUGUCCACUAUAAGGGUGGUGGGGUAGCCUUGUGGUUAAAGCAUCCCCAUGUCACGCUGAAGACCCAGGUUCUAUUCCCCAUACAGGUACAAUGUAUAAAGCCCAUUUCUGGUGUCCCCUGCCUUUAUAUUGCUGGAAUAUUGCUAAAAGCGACUUAAAACCAUACUCACUCACUCACUCACCCAGUAUAGUGAGACCAAUUAGUAUUAUAUUUCUACACAUAAGUCUGAUCUUAAGUUCCCAAUAAUGAAAACUAAAUAAUUCGAAAUCCUGUGUUAAAAUUAAUUAAAUUCAACAGCAAAAUUAACAAUUAUAAUGAUCAAGCCUUCAUAAGCAGACAUAGGUGUAUUGAAGUGUAUUGACAGGUGUAUUAAAAAGAGUGUAUUACCUCACCAAUUCAGUACAACAGGGUGUUUUGUGUAUUUUCACGCAUUAUUUAAUGUAUUGCAUUAUUAUCUAUUCCUUGUGUACAUAUGGUCAAAUAGAACCCUGUAAAGUUGAAAAUUUAAUGUAAUUUGAUAUGCAAAGUCACUAGUCAUUUCACCCUUUGAAAUUGCAUUUAUUUUCCAAUCUUUUUAACCUAUGAGAUGUCCACUCAAGUAUUCCUUCCACAUAUUUCUUAUAUGUGAUACAUCAGAUAUUUUUGAUUAUGAUUGUGUUGUGAUCAUACUGUUUUAUUUUGAAAAUACAACAUUAAUAAUUCAAAAUGUAAAAAAUUACAAAUAUAUGCAUAAUAAUAAAUUUCAUUUCAAUUUAGAAUUUUGACAUUUAAUGCCUGAAUUAUUAAAUAAACAAUAUAAUAUUUAGUAACAAUUCAAUUAUUUUUGCAAAAUUUAUUCUUGAAAUGAAGAAACUCCAAUGACUGGCCUCUUGAAUAAAAAAUCUUAGUUGCAACUUUGGUAAUGUGUUAAAAGUCUCUAAAUUUCUUUUUUAUGUGUUUCUGAUUAAUCCAAUUAUGAAAAUGAAUUAUUAAUAUAUGUUUCUGUUAUUAGAAUAUGUAUGUAAUAGGUUUGUCAUGUGUUUCUUCUGUCAAUGAAUGCAUGUUUUGUUGGCAUGUUUCUGUUGUGAAUAUUUUCUUUGGUUAUAUUUUAAAGAUGAAUGUUCUAUAGCAUCUUCAAUAAGAAUGUAUUUUGCUGUCACAAUAUGUUUUGACUUUUUAAUCCUUUUUGUCACUUUUAUUAAUUGUGUUGAUAUUAUCAUGUUUUGUUCAGUUUCUAUAUGUUAUUAUUAUUUUGAUAGACUGAUUAUUUAGAAGGUGUGCAAUAGUAGUAUAUAGACACAUGUAGGGAAAGAACUGUCUCUUGUUGCUGAAAUACUUAUAUUUAAAGUAUACAGAGCGGGUUGAAGUUAAAUAUGAACACAUGGAUCAGCAUCCACAGUAUACAACAACACCUUCUCCCUCAUCACCAGCUGUGAUUACAAUGACAUGAUGCAGUUAGUAACAUCCUUCCCUUGUUCAGAAACAACGAUGCUGGCUGCUCUACCCUUUGAGUUCUGCAGUGUUAACCAGUUAUAGAACCUCAAUCCCCGUAGUAUAAUGUUUUAUUUAAGACCAAACGCAAGGCUGACUGUCGGUCAGUAGUUUUGUUUUACACAGACGAGAGACUGUCGGUCAGUAGUUUUGUUUUACACAUACGAGACACAGACCAGAGACUGUCGGUCAGUAGUUUUGUUUUACACAGACGAGAGACUGUCGGUCAGUAUUUUUGUUUCAGUGCUGCUAAGGAGAUAUAUGUUUACUUUUACUAGAUAUACAUUGUGUUUACUAGAUAUACAUUGUGUUUACUAAUUAUGUUUUCCUUUGUAAUAAACCUUUGAAAUUUU